rnacentral:misc_RNA from 1 species
AACGCACGAGACCUGCGGACCUGCGGAAGGAUCAUUACUGAGGAGGGUCCAUGGCCCGAUCUCCAACCCUUUGAUAAAAACACCAUGUUGCUUUGGCAGGCCCGCCCGUUGGGGCCGCGGGGGAUCGCCGGUCCCUAGCCCGUGCCUGCCGGUAGCCUUCACAAAACUCUCAAAAUGUUGUCGUCUGAGAUGAUUAGAAUAAUAAAACUUUCAGCAACGGAUCUCUAGAUCGGAAGAGCA